GGUCAGCGCCCUGUCAGCAAAAUCUUGCUGG
rnacentral:misc_RNA from 1 species